rnacentral:ncRNA from 2 species
CAUAGACAAUGUCGCGUAAAGUGCUAUCACCUAGGAUAAUGUGAUAGACGAAGAGAAAAACUCGCGGUGGCAUUGCGAUCCACUAUA